rnacentral:lncRNA from 9 species
CUCGGGCCCAGAGCGAGGCCCAGCGUGGUUGGCCCUCUUGCCGGUGGACACCCACUCCUUCAGACCCAGUAGCCCUGCUGGGUCCAUUGGGAGCCGCUGCCCCUCCGCACGCUCCGGGGCCGCCCCGCCUUCCCGAGGGGGAUGGGCCGCUGGGCGGGGUCUGAGCCCCGCCCUCAUUUCCAGGGCGGCCCGGAGCCCGGAGGGCAGCACCGCAGACGGCCCGAGGGCCUUGGGGACCACCCUCCUUCCACCUCCCUGAGAGCCUCCCUAGCAGGUGCCAAACGCCGCAAAUGAUCCCGCUGGUGACUCGGAGCUUUGGCAAGACAAGCGCUUCCCGUCUCCUCUGUGAAAGGAGCCAGGAGCUACUGUUGCAGCCGAAGCUCCAAGCGUGGGCUGUGGGAGCAAAGACAGACAACAGCUACAGCGGGGGGAAAAGGCUGCACGUCCAGAAGCAUGUUCACCGACUGGAAGAGCCGGGACCCCUCUCAGGUGACAGCCCCCGGCAGGCAGGACAGAUGUUGAAAGGUGGUUACAAGCAGUAAAGCUGAGAAGGGGACGGGAAGUCACGCCAAGGGCGGGCUGGGCCUGGAGGUGGGGGGUGGGGAUGGGACACGGAUAAUGGGGGGUGGGCGGAGGGAAGGAAUAAAGAAACAGGUGGUUUUGGAGUUCCCAACAUGCAGGUUCGAUCCCUGGCCUUGCUCCGUGUGUUAAGGAUCCAGCGUUGCCGUGAGCUGUGGUGUAGGUCGUAGACAUGGCUCAGAUCCCGCGUUGCUGUGGCCCUGGCAUAGGCUGGCAGCUACACUUACGACUGGACCCCUAGCCUGGGAACCUCCAUAUGCCGUGGGUGCGGCCCUAAAAAGAAAAGAAACAGGUGUUUUCCACCCUCUCACUCUUAGACCCCCUUUGAAAAUAUCUCCCAAAGCGGAUUCCAUGGUUGAAAUAGUUUAUCUCACAGAGAGACUGUUAUUUAGUAAAAACUUGGGGCAGCCUGAGAGACUGAGAUGAGCCAUGUUACCACACUGAGUUUUCACCGAAAGCAAGGAUGAGGACGUUUGCGGGCCGAGCAGCGUGCGUGGGGGGCCCCAGGCCCUGGAGCUGACGAGGAGCUGCAGGUGGGCAAAGCAGGUGCCAUGCGGCCACCAGUGCCGGUGGUGGCCUCACCCCCCUCGGGGCCCUUGUCUCCAGGAGGCAGGUCCCACAGGGGACGGGGGUGGGGACACACUCCCUGCAUCACCUGUUUUCAACUCCUUGGGACCCUGACCCAGCACCAGACUUGGUUUCAGCUGCAUUCUGGUUUCAGUGCUUGCUGGCUACACAACCCCAGACAAACUGCUCAAUCUGCCCGAGCCUCAGCUGCCGCAUCUGUAAAAUAGGCAUACCAAGAGUCGAGCAGCCGAAACAAGAGCAGGCAAAGUACCCUGAGGACAACUAAACCCAGUGGACAGUACUGUCCCGGCCCCAGGCACCACCCAGCCUCCUGAGCUCCUGCUGCCCGGGACCAGGCACUGUCCUCCACUCCCUUUCGGUCCCCGCUCAUCAGUGAUCUGGUCUGAUCUGGUCUGCAGCCUCCCGGGCUCCUCAUCCCAGCCCUUCCCCUCCCCUGGAUUACACGGAAAUGAUCCGACGGGGCAGCAGGUAAGGUUACACGUGCCAAGCACAGCGGCCCCCUGGGGAACGCUUGAGACCCACAAUCUUGCCUCCGCGUUGAAGCCCAUUGCACAGGGAAGGAAGUGGAAGCUCAGAAGGAUGACAUCAGUUGCUUGUCUCACAGUUAGUGUGCGGCAGGACUCAGGCAGUUUGCCGACAUGGAUGCCCGUGUGUGGCCACCUCACCCAGGCUGCUUCACCUUGCCCUUGGCUCUCUGAGAAGCUGCUGGUCCCCUUUAGAGAGCGGCUUCUCCGGCUCAAAGAAAGCUGAAGGCGGCAGUAAAUGAGAACGCUCCCUCGCAGCUCAGCGCCCCCGGCCCCAGCGGGAAAGACCGACUUACUUGUACAUGGGAGGGAGAAGGAGGUGUCUGAAGGCUUCGUGCGGGUCUGUUUCUCCCCUUGUCCUGCAUUCGCUAAGUGCUCCCUGAAGAUCUCAUUUGUGGAGGGAGGGUUACGCCGUGAUGACACCCACUGGCCUUUUAGCAGUUGGGGGUGAAGCCAGAGGAGCCCCCAACCUGCCCAGGUGCUCGUCUCAGCGUUAAGACGUACACUGAAAGCACAGCCGGGUUAAGGUGGGUGUUAAAAGCAUAGCCGAGCGGGACUCCCUUCCAGGAGGGUUUUCACCCAUCGCGCUGGUCUUGGGGGCAGCAGGGACCCUGUGCUGCUGCCCCCAGGCCCUCUGCCUGGCUGGGCAGUCACACUGGGCCCCUUGCCAGCUCCGUGGCGUGCCUUUGUGACCCAUUUUAAGCGGGAUCAAGCUAAAAUCAAAUACUGUAAAUUCGGAACGGCAGUCAGAGGAACAAAGGGGCUCAGUGGCGCGGCUGUGCAGUGUUGGGGAGAAAAGAGGGACCAGCGGAGUCGGCCGUGUCCUCGGCAGGGCUGUGUGACUGCCCUCUUUUCCUCGCCCUCCGCUGAGCACUCUUCAGAGCUGGCAUUCAGGGGGUGGGGGAGCACCAAGUGCCCGCAUCUCUGAUUUGCUGGAGUCAAACACUCAGGAGCAAAGGGCAGUGCCUGCUCCUGGAGCCGCCCAACCCUCUCCCCACCCCCGACCUGCCAGCCCAGCCUCGAGGAAAGGAACCGGCUGCAGGGUCCGGACACAGCUAGAGAUGCCACACGGGGCAGGUGUCCAGGCUUCAGGCAGACGCUGCUCCUGCAGAGGGUGCGGCUGACCUGAGCCCCAUGGUCCAAAGCCGUGGGUCUCGGGGCCAGAGUGAGCAUCGUGGCCACCGGCAGCUCCAUCACCAGAGCUGGGAGAGGCGGGCAGCCACCCCCCUGUCCUGCCAGGAUGCCUGUGGCUGAAAAGAGCCACCAAGGGAUCCUUCAGGGCCACCAUCUCAGGUCACCUGAGAGCCGCUGAAGAUGAACCUGAGCCUCUCCAGAAGCAAGCCUGGAACACCUUUCCGACCCAGCCUGGACAGAGGUGUGUUUCCCUCUUUGGCCGAGAUCCACGGCAGAAUGGCUGCCCCUCCGCUGCUGCUGGAGACAGAGGAGGAUGCUUCCCCCAAGGGCGGCUCCUGAGUUUCUGAGUGAAAUAGUCACCUUGGCAUCUAAGGAGAAUGUGACCUUGUGCUGCUAGGGUGAUGGGCACGGAACGGGGAUUCUAGAGAAAGCACCACUCAUGUAAAAUUGAGUUUUAAUUUUUUUCCCCAGCUUUCAAAGUCCAGCCCAAUUCCUGAAGGAAAAAAAAAACAAAACAAAACUGUUUUUUUCAUUCUUUCUAUGGCAAACAAAGCCAUUUUAUAUUCU